rnacentral:rRNA from 1 species
GACGAACGCUGGCGGCGUGCUUAACACAUGCAAGUGGAGCGACGAACCGGGCUUCGGCCCGGGGCAAAGCCGCGAACGGGUGAGUAUCACGUGGGUAACCUGCCCCGAUGACCGGGACAACCCGAGGAAACUCGGGCCAAUACCGGAUGUGCUCCUCGCACACCAGUGCGGGGAGGAAAGGAAGCUUCGGCCUCCGCAUCGGGAUGGGCCCGCGGCCCAUUAGCUUGUUGGUGAGGUAAAGGCUCACAAAGGCGACGAUGGGUAGCUGGUCUGAGAGGACGUUCAGCCAGACUGGGACUGGGACACGGCCCAGACUCCUCCGGGAGGCAGCAGUGGGGAAUCUUGCGCAAUGCGCGAAAGCGUGAGGCAGCAACGCCGCGUGAGGGAAGAAGGCCUUCGGGUUGUAAACCUCUUUCAGGAGGGACGAAGGUUCAGGCGCGAAUAGCGUCCUGACUGACGGUACCUCCAGAAGAAGCCCCGGCUAACUACGUGCCAGCAGCCGCCGUAACAC